GGCGGUGGUUUACCCAGUCAGAGGAAUUUGCCCCAUAAUCGAUAAUCCUCGUUUAACUUAACUUGAUUUAGAGUACAGCUUGUAUACCGCCGUCAUCAGAAAAUUUUAAGAAAAUAUUUUCUAGGUCUUUUAAUAGAAUAUGUCAGGUCAAGGUGCAGCCUAUGUUCAAGUGAGAGGUGAAUUACAAUAAAUAAAUUUAAAACGGAUUGUUACAUGAAAAAUAACAUAAAGGUGGAUU
rnacentral:rRNA from 1 species